rnacentral:rRNA from 1 species
UACGAAGGGGGCUAGCGUUGCUCGGAAUUACUGGGCGUAAAGGGCGCGUAGGCGGCACUGUUAGUCAGGCGUGAAAUUCCUGGGCUCAACCUGGGGACUGCGCUUGAUACGGCAAAGCUUGAGGAUGGAAGAGGGUCGCGGAAUUCCCAGUGUAGAGGUGAAAUUCGUAGAUAUUGGGAAGAACACCGGUGGCGAAGGCGGCGACCUGGUCCAUUACUGACGCUGAGGCGCGACAGCGUGGGGAGCAAACAGG